rnacentral:rRNA from 1 species
UCAGCUAUGGUUCCUUAGAUCGUACCCACAAUUACUUGGAUAACUGUGGUAAUUCUAGAGCUAAUACAUGCAAACAGAGCUCCGACCGGAGACGGAAGGAGUGCUUUUAUUAGAUCAAAACCAAUCGGUGGCGGGUUCGCGCUCGUUAUCGUACAACUUGGUGACUCUGAAUAACUUUACGCUGAUCGCACGGUCAUCGCACCGGCGACGCAUCUUUCAAAUGUCUGCCUUAUCAACUGUCGAUGGUAGGUUCUGCGCCUACCAUGGUUGUAACGGGUAACGGGGAAUCAGGGUUCGAUUCCGGAGAGGGAGCCUGAGAAACGGCUACCACAUCCAAGGAAGGCAGCAGGCGCGCAAAUUACCCACUCCCGGCACGGGGAGGUAGUGACGAAAAAUAACGAUACGGGACUCAUCCGAGGCCCCGUAAUCGGAAUGAGUACACUCUAAACCCUUUAACGAGGAUCAAUUGGAGGGCAAGUCUGGUGC